rnacentral:rRNA from 1 species
AUUGAACGCUGGCGGCAUGCCUUACACAUGCAAGUCGAACGGUAACGGGCCUUCGGGUGCCGACGAGUGGCGCACGGGUGAGUAAUACAUCGGAACGUGCCCGAUCGUGGGGGAUAACGAGGCGAAAGCUUUGCUAAUACCGCAUACGAUCUACGGAUGAAAGCAGGGGACCGCAAGGCCUUGCGCGGACGGAGCGGCCGAUGGCAGAUUAGGUAGUUGGUGGGAUAAAAGCUUACCAAGCCGACGAUCUGUAGCUGGUCUGAGAGGAUGAUCAGCCACACUGGGACUGAGACACGGCCCAGACUCCUACGGGAGGCAGCAGUGGGGAAUUUUGGACAAUGGGCGCAAGCCUGAUCCAGCCAUGCCGCGUGCAGGAUGAGGGCCUUCGGGUUGUAAACUGCUUUUGUACGGAACGAAAAGCCUUCUUUUAAUACAGGAGGGUCAUGACGGUACCGUAAGAAUAAGCACCGGCUAACUACGUG